UAAGAUCGCUGCAUCGUGCAGCAACAUCGAACCAACCCACGUCGUGUGGA
rnacentral:sRNA from 1 species